rnacentral:rRNA from 1 species
AGUGAACGCUGGCGGUAGGCCUAACACAUGCAAGUCGAACGGCAGCACAGUAAGAGCUUGCUCUUACGGGUGGCGAGUGGCGGACGUGUGAGGAAUACAUCGGAAUCUACUUUUUCGUGGGGGAUAACGUAGGGAAACUUACGCUAAUACCGCAUACGACCUACGGGUGAAAGCAGGGGAUCUUCGGACCUUGCGCGGUUGAAUGAGCCGAUGUCGGAUUAGCUAGUUGGCGGGGUAAAGGCCCACCCAGGCGACGAUCCGUAGCUGGUCUGAGAGGAUGGUCAGCCACACUGGAACUGAGACACGGUCCAGACUCCUACGGGAGGCAGCAGUGGGGAAUAUUGGACAAUGGGCGGAAGCCUGAUCCAGCCAUACUGCGUGGGUGAAGAAGGCCUUCGGGUUGUAAAGCCCUUUUGUUGGGAAAGAAAAGCAGCAGGUUAAUACCCCGCUGUUCUGACGGUACCCAAAGAAUAAGCACCGGCUAACUUCGUG